rnacentral:lncRNA from 1 species
GAUAUCUCGGCUUCUAUGGGAGCUAUCGGGAAAAUUCCAACGGUUUUUUCUUAGUUUCGUCGUUCUGAAUCCAACGAGACCAUCCGCAAGGUCGUAGCUUUUACGAUAGCCGAGAUAUGGCAUUUUUGAUGCCCAUUUUUGGCCUCAAAAACGAGGUCGAAAAAAUACUCGAUUUCUUAGUUCUGCUCCGAUUCCCUUAUAACCCGGUAUUUUCGUGAUCUACUUGAUGAGAACAAUCCGCUGGUAUAGUUAGUUCGAAUUCGAAAAAAAAAAAAAAUUCUGAAAAAAAUCCAAACGGGGGGGUAUACCCGAAAAAUGAAAAAACCCAAACUUUGAAGGUCGAUAUCUCGGCUUCUAUGGGAGCUAUCGGGAAAAUUCCAACGGUUUUUUCUUAGUUUCGUCGUUCUGAAUCCAACGAGACCAUCCGCAAGGUCGUAGCUUUUACGAUAGCCGAGAUAUGGCAUUUUUGAUGCCCAUUUUUGGCCUCAAAAACGAGGUCGAAAAAAUACUCGAUUUCUUAGUUCUGCUCCGAUUCCCUUAUAACCCGGUAUUUUCGUGAUCUACUUGAUGAGAACAAUCCGCUGGUAUAGUUAGUUCGAAUUCGAAAAAAAAAAAAAUUCUGAAAAAAAUCCAAACGGGGGAGUAUACCCGAAAAGUGAAAAAACCCAAACUUUGAAGGCCGAUAUCUUGGCUUCUAUGGGAGCUAUCGGGAAAAUUCCAACGGAUUUGUCUUAGUUUCGUCGUUCUGAAUCCAACGAGACCAUCCGCAAGGUCGUAGCUCUUCUAAUAGCUGAGAUAUGGCAUUUUUGAUGCCCAUUUUUGGCCUCAAAAACGAGGUCGAAAAAAUACUCGAUUUCUUAGUUCUGCUCCGAUUCCCUUAUAACCCGGUAUUUUCGUGAUCUACUUGAUGAGAACAAUCCGCUGGUAUAGUUAGUUCGAAUUCGAAAAAAAAAAAAUUCUGAAAAAAAUCCAAACGGGGGGGUAUACCCGAAAAAUGAAAAAACCCAAACUUUGAAGGUCGAUAUCUCGGCUUCUAUGGGAGCUAUUGGGAAAAUUCCAACGGAUUUGUCUUAGUUUCGUCGUUCUAAAUCCAACGAGACCAUCCGCAAGGUCGUAGCUCUUCUAAUAGCUGAGAUAUGGCAUUUUUGAUGCCCAUUUUUGGCCUCAAAAACGAGGUCGAAAAAAUACUCGAUUUCUUAGUUCUGCUCCGAUUCCCUUAUAACCCGGUAUUUUCGUGAUCUACUUGAUGAGAACAAUCCGCUGGUAUAGUUAGUUCAUAUUCGAAAAAAAAAAAAUUCUGAAAAAAAUCCAAACGGGGGGGUAUACCCGAAAAAUGAAAAAACCCAAACUUUGAAGGUCGAUAUCUCGGCUUCUAUGGGAGCUAUCGGGAAAAUUCCAACGGUUUUUUCUUAGUUUCGUCGUUCUGAAUCCAACGAGACCAUCCGCAAGGUCGUAGCUCUUCUAAUAGCUGAGAUAUGGCAUUUUUGAUGCCCAUUUUUGGCCUCAAAAACGAGGUCGAAAAAAUACUCGAUUUCUUAGUUCUGCUCCGAUUCCCUUAUAACCCGGUAUUUUCGUGAUCUACUUGAUGAGAACAAUCCGCUGGUAUAGUUAGUUCGAAUUCGAAAAAAAAAAAAAAUUCUGAAAAAAAUCCAAACGGGGGGGUAUACCCGAAAAAUGAAAAAACCCAAACUUUGAAGGUCGAUAUCUCGGCUUCUAUGGGAGCUAUUGGGAAAAUUCCAACGGAUUUGUCUUAGUUUCGUCGUUCUAAAUCCAACGAGACCAUCCGCAAGGUCGUAGCUCUUCUAAUAGCUGAGAUAUGGCAUUUUUGAUGCCCAUUUUUGGCCUCAAAAACGAGGUCGAAAAAAUACUCGAUUUCUUAGUUCUGCUCCGAUUCCCUUAUAACCCGGUAUUUUCGUGAUCUACUUGAUGAGAACAAUCCGCUGGUAUAGUUAGUUCAUAUUCGAAAAAAAAAAAAAUUCUGAAAAAAAUCCAAACGGGGGGGUAUACCCGAAAAAUGAAAAAACCCAAACUUUGAAGGUCGAUAUCUCGGCUUCUAUGGGAGCUAUCGGGAAAAUUCCAACGGUUUUCUCUUAGUUUCGUCGUUCUGAAUCCAACGAGACCAUCCGCAAGGUCGUAGCUUUUACGAUAGCCGAGAUAUGGCAUUUUUGAUGCCCAUUUUUGGCCUCAAAAACGAGGUCGAAAAAAUACUCGAUUUCUUAGUUCUGCUCCGAUUCCCUUAUAACCCGGUAUUUUCGUGAUCUACUUGAUGAGAACAAUCCGCUGGUAUAGUUAGUUCGAAUUCGAAAAAAAAAAAAAUUCUGAAAAAAAUCCAAACGGGGGGGUAUACCCGAAAAAUGAAAAAACCCAAACUUUGAAGGUCGAUAUCUCGGCUUCUAUGGGAGCUAUCGGGAAAAUUCCAACGGUUUUCUCUUAGUUUCGUCGUUCUGAAUCCAACGAGACCAUCCGCAAGGUCGUAGCUCUUCUAAUAGCUGAGAUAUGGCAUUUUUGAUGCCCAUUUUUGGCCUCAAAAACGAGGUCGAAAAAAUACUCGAUUUCUUAGUUCUGCUCCGAUUCCCUUAUAACCCGGUAUUUUCGUGAUCUACUUGAUGAGAACAAUCCGCUGGUAUAGUUAGUUCGAAUUCGAAAAAAAAAAAAAUUCUGAAAAAAAUCCAAACGGGGGGGUAUACCCGAAAAAUGAAAAAACCCAAACUUUGAAGGUCGAUAUCUCGGCUUCUAUGGGAGCUAUCGGGAAAAUUCCAACGGUUUUCUCUUAGUUUCGUCGUUCUGAAUCCAACGAGACCAUCCGCAAGGUCGUAGCUUUUACGAUAGCCGAGAUAUGGCAUUUUUGAUGCCCAUUUUUGGCCUCAAAAACGAGGUCGAAAAAAUACUCGAUUUCUUAGUUCUGCUCCGAUUCCCUUAUAACCCGGUAUUUUCGUGAUCUACUUGAUGAGAACAAUCCGCUGGUAUAGUUAGUUCGAAUUCGAAAAAAAAAAAAAAAUUCUGAAAAAAAUCCAAACGGGGGGGUAUACCCGAAAAAUGAAAAAACCCAAACUUUGAAGGUCGAUAUCUCGGCUUCUAUGGGAGCUAUCGGGAAAAUUCCAACGGUUUUCUCUUAGUUUCGUCGUUCUGAAUCCAACGAGACCAUCCGCAAGGUCGUAGCUUUUACGAUAGCCGAGAUAUGGCAUUUUUGAUGCCCAUUUUUGGCCUCAAAAACGAGGUCGAAAAAAUACUCGAUUUCUUAGUUCUGCUCCGAUUCCCUUAUAACCCGGUAUUUUCGUGAUCUACUUGAUGAGAACAAUCCGCUGGUAUAGUUAGUUCGAAUUCGAAAAAAAAAAAAAAUUCUGAAAAAAAUCCAAACGGGGGGGUAUACCCGAAAAAUGAAAAAACCCAAACUUUGAAGGUCGAUAUCUCGGCUUCUAUGGGAGCUAUCGGGAAAAUUCCAACGGUUUUUUCUUAGUUUCGUCGUUCUGAAUCCAACGAGACCAUCCGCAAGGUCGUAGCUCUUCUAAUAGCUGAGAUAUGGCAUUUUUGAUGCCCAUUUUUGGCCUCAAAAACGAGGUCGAAAAAAUACUCGAUUUCUUAGUUCUGCUCCGAUUCCCUUAUAACCCGGUAUUUUCGUGAUCUACUUGAUGAGAACAAUCCGCUGGUAUAGUUAGUUCGAAUUCGAAAAAAAAAAAAAAUUCUGAAAAAAAUCCAAACGGGGGGGUAUACCCGAAAAAUGAAAAAACCCAAACUUUGAAGGUCGAUAUCUCGGCUUCUAUGGGAGCUAUUGGGAAAAUUCCAACGGAUUUGUCUUAGUUUCGUCGUUCUAAAUCCAACGAGACCAUCCGCAAGGUCGUAGCUCUUCUAAUAGCUGAGAUAUGGCAUUUUUGAUGCCCAUUUUUGGCCUCAAAAACGAGGUCGAAAAAAUACUCGAUUUCUUAGUUCUGCUCCGAUUCCCUUAUAACCCGGUAUUUUCGUGAUCUACUUGAUGAGAACAAUCCGCUGGUAUAGUUAGUUCGAAUUCGAAAAAAAAAAAAAAAUUCUGAAAAAAAUCCAAACGGGGGGGUAUACCCGAAAAAUGAAAAAACCCAAACUUUGAAGGUCGAUAUCUCGGCUUCUAUGGGAGCUAUCGGGAAAAUUCCAACGGUUUUCUCUUAGUUUCGUCGUUCUGAAUCCAACGAGACCAUCCGCAAGGUCGUAGCUCUUCUAAUAGCUGAGAUAUGGCAUUUUUGAUGCCCAUUUUUGGCCUCAAAAACGAGGUCGAAAAAAUACUCGAUUUCUUAGUUCUGCUCCGAUUCCCUUAUAACCCGGUAUUUUCGUGAUCUACUUGAUGAGAACAAUCCGCUGGUAUAGUUAGUUCGAAUUCGAAAAAAAAAAAAAUUCUGAAAAAAAUCCAAACGGGGGGGUAUACCCGAAAAAUGAAAAAACCCAAACUUUGAAGGUCGAUAUCUCGGCUUCUAUGGGAGCUAUCGGGAAAAUUCCAACGGUUUUCUCUUAGUUUCGUCGUUCUGAAUCCAACGAGACCAUCCGCAAGGUCGUAGCUCUUCUAAUAGCUGAGAUAUGGCAUUUUUGAUGCCCAUUUUUGGCCUCAAAAACGAGGUCGAAAAAAUACUCGAUUUCUUAGUUCUGCUCCGAUUCCCUUAUAACCCGGUAUUUUCGUGAUCUACUUGAUGAGAACAAUCCGCUGGUAUAGUUAGUUCGAAUUCGAAAAAAAAAAAAAAUU